rnacentral:rRNA from 1 species
AUGGCCGGGUCCGAUCUGCGGCAAGCAAGUGCAGCCGCGGCUAGUGCGGCGGCGGCGAACGACGGUGCGGGAGGGACCACGGGCGUUGGCUCAGAGGGGAGCGAGCUCUAUGGUGAUGGACGCGAGCUCCCGGGCACGGCCGGCAGGAGGAGGGACGGGGCCGCCACGGGGAUCAGGAUGUCGACAGCAGCAGCCGUCGUCGACGGAGCGGGGCAGCCACCAGCUGCCGCGGGCUUCGGUGACGUGAGCGCUUCGAGCUCGCAUGGAGGCAUCACCAACACCGCCAUGGGCACGGCACGAAGCUGGGUGGGCAGGUCCAUCGUCGUCGUCGGCGGCGGCGGAAGCAGGAGGUCCCGAUCCAGAUCUGACCGGGAAAACGAUAGAGAUGGCGGCGGGACGACAACCGGUUUGAAACCCACAGGCAACGAGGGUGGAGGCGGCGGCAGCAUGGCGGCUGGGCUGCGAGCCAGCGGUGGGGUGGCCGACGAGGCCGGAGUGGCCGUCGCCAGCGCGCGCUAG